rnacentral:rRNA from 1 species
UAGGGAAUCUUCGGCAAUGGACGGAAGUCUGACCGAGCAACGCCGCGUGAGUGAAGAAGGUUUUCGGAUCGUAAAGCUCUGUUGUAAGAGAAGAACGAGUGUGAGAGUGGAAAGUUCACACUGUGACGGUAUCUUACCAGAAAGGGACGGCUAACUACGUGCCAGCAGCCGCGGUAAUACGUAGGUCCCGAGCGUUGUCCGGAUUUAUUGGGCGUAAAGCGAGCGCAGGCGGUUAGAUAAGUCUGAAGUUAAAGGCUGUGGCUUAACCAUAGUACGCUUUGGAAACUGUUUAACUUGAGUGCAAGAGGGGAGAGUGGAAUUUCAUGUGUAGCGGUGAAAUGCGUAGAUAUAUGGAGGAACACCGGUGGCGAAAGCGGCUCUCUGGCUUGUAACUGACGCUGAGGCUCGAAAGCGUGGGGAGCAAACAGGAUUAGAUACCCUGGUAGUCCACGCCGUAAACGAUGAGUGCUAGGUGUUAGACCCUUUCCGGGGUUUAGUGCCGCAGCUAACGCAUUAAGCACUCCGCCUGGGGAGUACGACCGCAAGGUUG